UAGCGAUUUCGAAUUUCGACCCAGUCCGCAACAUUGUUCUUAUCGGUAGAUGUGUACCAGGAGUAUGUUAUGUGAUCCUAUUUUCCCUUUGCAAUGACUUAUUCAAAUACUCAUUACUUUAUCGUAGCGUAAUUGGCCCUGUUGUGAAUUGUUUACGGAAAAACCUUGUGUCCAAUGACUAGACUACAGUUAGCGCUUGAGUUUUCCGUCAGUGGUUGUUAUUUCGUUGGUCAAGUUAUAAUAAACCCAGGCUUCUGCAAGGAUGUUUUUGGUACGAGGACGUCUCGUUACUUUUCUGACAGUAGAGCUGCGUGCACGAUCCUGUUGUAUAGUAACAGGUUUUGAAGUGUUCAAUGUGAGUGCAGUGGUUUACACCUCAAAACGAAGGCACCCAUAAACCCAUUCCCCAUGAGUUUUGCAUAGACAUGCUAUAGGACUGAAUUAAUGACUGGCUUGUUUUUAUCGAUCAGGCGACCUUCCACUAAGAAAGUUAACAAGAAUAACACGUAUAUGGGGAACAGAACCCUCGUGUAAGGUAAACUUGCGUUGUGCCAUGUGAAAGAAACUUGUUGGGACCAUUCAUCUCUGAAGGAGUAGUAGUUAAUUGAAAAAUGUUAUGAGCUGGAGUCUGGGAACCUUAAUUUUCCAA